CGUUUCCGAUUUUUCCUCGCCAAAUUAAACUUUUUCAUUUUGCGGUCAUAAGGAAAAAAAUUUAAAAAAAUGUGAAUGGGGCUCGUCGGUUUUGUGGGGGUGCGAUUGUCCUGCACAGAGGACAUUUUGGCGGGCAAGAGAAAAAAAAGUGGUGCGGGAAAAAAAGAAAAAUUGGGGCGGCGCGCCCUGAAAAAAGGGAGUCCUGAAAAAAAGUAUGUGACGAACAUGAAAAAAUCUUUUUUCUGGCGCGCGCAGGAGUCUGCACAUACAAAAAAAAGAGGAAUUCGCGGAAAAAAGAUUUUUUCUGGGUGUGCAGUUCUGCGCGGGGUCAAAACGAGCUCGGAGGAUAUAUAUGUGGGUGAGAGCCUACAACACAGUUGCGAAAAGGCAAAGCGCCUGGAAGCUGUUGUGGACAAUAUUCCUCGAUGUUGAGGACGGUGCGGACGCCGAGCGCCGUGUGGAACCCUAGUUGAAGCCGGAAGGUGAAGAGAACGCUGUGUUUUGUGGCAGUACUGUAAUCGCAAAUCUCUGAAGCGGAGAAACCUUGGUCGUUGCUGGAAGGCGACGGCGCGUGUGUGCGGCAGUUGCCGGCGGGGGGUCGAAUCCCCCUCGCUGGUGGCGGCGGCGAGUAUGAAGGAGGGCACACACGCGUCGAAACUAACCAGUGACUUCCCGGGUGGACUCGUGGAGGGGAGGCGGGAUAUGCCGGGAGGCCCUCGUCGAAACAUGAUGCACUUGGAUCCGGAUGGGACUUGGAAGAAGCAUGGCAACCAGCGGAGGCACGGUCCAACAAGGAGAUUCGGCCGGUACGGACGGGAAUAUUGGACGCGGCAGUGGACAUGAAGCGAUGUCUUGGACCACUGUAAGCCAUUGUGGGCAUAGGCGACGGACGUCAGUCCCCGCCCUGGCCACUCGGUAUACGUCAGUCUUGGUCCGACAGUGUCGGGGCAAGCAGUGCUGGGUUUGGUGGAUUACUAGGCCAUGCCUGUACUACUAGACUCUGGGGUGGCGUCUCAACAACUCUGUUGUUCGAGAUCAAACUCCUCCGACGCCUGCCAACAGUGAUUCAUCAUUGAAAAGCAGGCGGAAGAAAAAAAGUGGGCUACGCAUCAUCAAUCAUCAACUCUACAAGCCACAGCGUUCCGCGCCGGGGUGUAAUAG
rnacentral:misc_RNA from 1 species